rnacentral:lncRNA from 1 species
CUGGGUCCUCACACUCUUUCCCUUCAGUUAUUGUUGGCUCUGGUUCUGACCUUGCCAGGUCCCCGGGCAGAAGAACCUGGGUUUUAUCUGCAGGCCUGUGGGCUUCCUGGAGCUGCAGGAAGAUUUUGCUUCACCUGAGCAGACGGGGCUGGCUGAAAUGCUGAGAGUUAUGGCAGACACAUGGGAACAGCCCUCAACCAUCAGUGGGAAGGAGGUAGGUGGAUACCCAGCUCCCUAACCCCAGGUAGGACAACUCUGGGAUAUGUUCUACAGAGCCUCCCAAGUUGCCCAGUAGGAUGGAGCCCCAACUGCCCCCAAAGGCAAACUUGUUUUUUACAUGUCCUUCCUUUCCACGUCUCAGUUCUGCACUCCCCACCACUGCUCCUCAGAGUCACCCCCAAACAAACCACACACACCCAGCCUUUCUCAGAGCCUUGUCUCAGAUGGGGGGUGGGGGACCCAGCCCAGGCUAGGCCUCAUGCUUAUUUCCUGUUCCUGACUCACUCUGUCUCAUACUGCAGCCGGCUCUUCUUGCUCUUUUCUUAUUCUGUAUUUAUGUGACUUCUUGCAUCGUAUCUUAUCCAGGUUCCUCUAGGCAAUUACCCGGGUAGACUCCCAGGACCCUCUUGUGGCCCAUGUGGCUAGAAUUCUUGCUGGCUUUGGCCUAGUACUUGAUGGAGGAAAUAGAAUCUCAUUUUAAGGGGAAAAUGAACAGAAAGAAAGAGAAAGCCUCCCUCUAGAAGGAGGAGAGGAGAGAAUAGUGAAAGGAGCACACCUUGGACUUGAUGCACAGGAUGUGUCUCUCAAGCAAGAUGGGCCCUGACAGUUGAGUUCUCCAUCCAUGGAAACUUCUAGGCCUGCUCUUUCUGGAUUUCUGCUCCUGGAACUUGGAAAUACCGAUGGAUUGGUUUUAUCAAAAGCGGGGCUGGUCUGGGUUCUGU